AAUACUAGGAUGGAUUUGACUAUGUCCUCCCGCAAAAAUGUGUGGCCUUACACCAAUAGUUGAAUUUAACAUACAGUGAGGGCUCUAUACACGAAUAUCAUCCGCUCUCAAGCUCUGUUAAUUAAUCCAAACUUCGUUCUAUGAGUAACUUAGAUACAUAUAAACAGAAGUUAUCCGUUCCAUGCCGGACACAACCUCACCAUAAAGAUCUUUCAUCGUCCCUUGAUGCUGACUAAAUGGCCUACAAGUGAUUUGUGCGUGCAGAGACUUGGAUAAAAUGACGUGUGCUGCAUCCAAAUGCUUGAUUACUUAUACACUAGCUCCUUUUUCCUAUUCCAGCUGAAUACAUCAAAAGUCAUUUGACUGCAGCCAUGCUGGAGCACCGCCUUCAGUCGAAGAAAGCGACUCCAGGACUUACUCUUUGUAAGCCUAGUACUUAUUCCAUCGGUUGCUUUUGCCGGGCUGCUAAGUUACGGGGAGGUAAACACACCAACAUCGGUUGUCAAGCGAUAGUGAGGAGACAAACACAGACACACACCUACCUGAUCCACUCAAAAGGCUUUAGUCGGCCCGAGGCUAUAGUAGAAGACACUUACCCAAGGUGCCACACUGAGGGACUGAAUUUGGAAGCAUGUGGUUGGGAUUCUCACCACACAGCCACGCCUGCGCCUGUUCGAAAGUAGCAACUCCCAGGGUUUCGUGUAUUCAAUGCUCUAAAUCUGUCAUCUGAUGCAACAUGCAUUCAUUACAGAAGACAAACUUUCACAACUGUUUUCAGUGAAAAUGUGAUUUUCUACCUGGCAUUAAAUUAGACGUCACUUGCCCAAGUUGCCGCACUAUAGGAUAGAAGAUAUACUCAUGUGAUUAGAAAACAAACUUUUCAAACUCGCGUUAGUGCACACGCACUUACACGCAAACAUACUCAAACAUGUGAGUACAUCUGCUCAUGUUUAAACAUAUAUAACAUUUAUACAGUAAAUUGUCUGUAUUAUGUGAUAUAUAGUUUCAGGUCGAGAAGAUUUCAGUAGAUCUAUAUGCAGAUCAUCACUAAAUUUUUUAAUUUUUUUUUUGUGAUACAAUGAGAAAAUCUUGGAUAAAAUAAGCAGACUAUAUUUGACUUCAAUGUAAUAUCCAAGGAAUCAGUUUUGGAUGAGGCUACGGCACUGAUAAUUAUAAAUCAGUUGAUAUAGAAUGAGUUUCAGCAACUCAAGUCAAAAUAAAGAUACCAGCUAUUUUUUUUUAUUCUAAAACAAAUACUUUUACCAUCAAAUUUCUUAAAAAACAAAUUAUGUUAAUUUAUAUUUUUUCUAAUUUUGCAUUUCCUAUAUUGGUUUCAAAUUUUGGCACAAGGGUAAGUCGAUUUCAUCGACCCCAGUGUUCAAUGGUACUUAUUUUAUCGACCUCGAAAUGAGGAAAAGCAAAGUGGACCUCGAAUUUCUAUCUAAUAUCAAUAAAUCAUAAGGCGGUGAACUGGCAGAAUCGUCUUUACAUUCUGAGUUCAAAUUCUACCAAGGUCGACUUUGCCUUUCAGCCUUUCGAGGUCGACAAAACAAAUACCAGUUGAACACUGGGAUCGAAGUAAUAGACAUAACCCCUCCCCCGAAAUAGCUGGCCUUGCGCCAAAAAAUUUGAAAGUAAUAUUAAUAAAACGUGGUUGCAAUAUAAGCAGUUAUUUUAGUAAUGAAUUUCAUUUGAACACUACGGAAAUGUAAUUUUGUAAAAUAAAUUAUUGCAUGUUUAAUGUGAUAAAAAAAUUUAAUACAUUCAA